UAGAUCAAAGGGGUCACUCCCUCACCUUCUUCUGGUUUCCUAAAGGAGUCUUCCACUCUGCAUCAGCAUAUACCCUGAGUUAUCUUUCAAAAGAAAGGCUAAUGUUGCACUUUUCCACUUGAGACAAGGUGAUCCGUUUUUUUUUUUUUUCCAGUUAACUCGGGGCUACUCCACUUUGCCUAAAUAAAGCUUCAUAAAGUUUGCAUUUUGUUGCUAAGGAACUCAUACCCAAAUUUUGUCUGUUUCAAAGUUUCUGCAGUUGCUGUAACUGCUAAAUUGAAAUGCUUUGUGCAAAACCAAAAAAAAAAAAAAAAAGAGAGAGAAAAAGGUAAAAAUAUGGUUGGGAGUUCCUGUUGUGGUGCAGUGGAAACUAAUCAGACUAGGAACCAUGAAGCUGUAGGUUUGAUCUCUGGCCUUGCUCAGUGGGUUAAGGACCCCACAUUGCUGUGGCUGUGGUGUAGGCCAGCAGCUGUAGCUCUGAUUUGACCCCUAGCCUGGCAACCACCUUAUGCCACAGGUGCAAGUCCUAAAAAGACCAAAAAAAAAAAAAAAAAAAUUAAGGUGAAGAAAAUAUGUAUAGCGUGUUAAUAUCUAUUUCAAAAAAGGGGAGAGAUAUGACUAUAUACCUAUAUGUGUUUUCUCACAACAAAACAAUAAUCAAGGAUAAACUAAUUUUUUUUACAGUUAUAUAGGAGAGAGAGAAUAAAGUGACAAAACUGGGUGGAAGCUAUAUUUCUCUGAUAACAUCCUUUGUGAAUUUGACUUUGGGACCAUGAGAAUGUUUUAUCUAGUUAUAAAAUGAGUAAUUUUUAAAAAGAAUCAAUAAAAACGAAACUCAAAAUGAAACAAAUGAACUUAACUGUAAAUUAAGACAGUGACAUAAACACACAGAGGAAAUAGUUCAACAGUGAAAUGUGACUACUGGGAUAUAAUUUAAGGACAAAAAGAACCAAAUAAAAUCUUCAACUAUUUUCAGUAAUCAUAUUGUUAGUAAUAAUAUUGGGCCUUAUAUUCUGAAAGUAUCAUAAAAUAUGCAAAAGAAAUAAUUUUUUAACAUUGUUACAAACUAAUAUUUUCACUAUAAAAGAAAAGUAAUACAAAUACUAAUUGAACUAAAAAUGCUUAAUCUUAGUUUGGAAUUGGGAAUAUCAGCUUGAACUCAUGAUGUAUUUUGUUUAAAAAUACAUAAUCCCUGACUCUUUUGAGGAAAAAAAUCCUAGGAACAAUUACUAAUGCAAUAGCAAUGAACAACUCCAGGAACCAGAUUGUCAUCUCUAAAUACCAUUCCUUAUUAAAAGAUAACAACUUUUUGGAGAAAUAAAUGAAUCCAGAUCUGAAGCAGCAAAUGUAUGAGAUGACUACAAAACAUCUUGCCAUACCAGAGAGCAAGAAAGCUAGCAAAUACUACUGGAGUUAUUUCAGAAAAUUCAGGAACCAGGAGUUCUGUCUUGGCGCAGCAGAAAGGAAUCUGACUGGGAACCAUGAGGUUACGUGUUUGAUCCCUGACUUCACUCAGUGGGUUAAGGAUCCAGCGUUGCUGUGGCCAUGGCAUAGGAGUGGAGUUCCCAUUGUGGCUCAGCAGCAAUGAACCCAACUAGUACCCAUGAGGAUUUGGGUUGUAUCCCUGGCUCGCUCAGUGGGUUAGGUAUCCGGCGUUGCCCUGAGUUGUGAUGUAGAUCCUAGAUGCAGCUCGGAUCCUGCAUUGCUGUGGCUGUGGUGUAGGCCGGCAGCAACAGCUCUGAUUCAACCCCUAGCCUUGGAAUU
rnacentral:lncRNA from 1 species